CCCCACUGAAGAAGAAGAAGAACGACGACGACUCACUGUUGUGCUGUCAAUAUGCUCACCUUUGUGUCCGUUUCAAAUGUAUUACUACAGGACGACUCCGAUCAAGUCUGAGGCCGGUAACAUCAACAGUGAGGACAAACCCAGCCUGCCUCUCUCCUUCCACACUGAGUCCAAACCUACAGUCACCCAGUCCUGAUUGUGACAGUGGAGCCCAGUUUGCACUGCAGGAUCCAGAGAUGGCAUCAGUGAAGCUGGAAGACUGCAGUCAAACACUGGAGCUGAAUGUCAACAUUAAAGAUGAAGAAGAGGAGGAGGAGAUUGGUACAUCUGUUUCUCAUGGGGACCUUGUUGAGACAUUCUCUACAUCCAGAGAGCAGCAGGAAGAUCCCAGACCUAAGAGGUCUCACCACUGCCCACAUUGUGAGGAAGUUUUCCCAUUUCUAUCAGGACUAAAAAUACACCUACAAAUACACACAGGAGAUAAUCCGUAUUCCCCCACUGACUAUGGGAAGAGAUUCACAACAUCACAUUCUCUGACAGUUCACCAGAGUGUGCACUCUGGAGAAAAGCCUUUCUCCUGCUCUGACUGUGGGAAGAGUUUCUCUCGACUGAGCCAUUUAAAAAGACACCAAAGUAUACAUAAAGGAGAGAAGCCUUUCUCCUGCUCUGACUGUGGGGAGAGUUUCGCUCAACUGGGGACUUUAAAAAAACACCAACGUAUUCACACAGGCGAGAAGCCUUACUUCUGUUCUGACUGUGGGAAGAAUUUCUCCCGAUUGGAUACCUUAAAAACACAUGAACGUAUACAUACAGGAGAGAAGCUUUACUCCUGCUCUUAUUGUGGCAAAUGCUUCACAACAUCAACUGAGCUAAAAGUUCAUCAGAGAACACACACCGGAGAGAAGCCUUACUCCUGUUCUGACUGUGGGGUGAGUUUCUCUCGACUGGGCCACUUAAAAACUCACGAAAGUAUACACACAGGGAGAAGCCUUACUACUGCUCUGACUGUGUGAAAUUCUUCACAACAUCAACUGAGCUAAAAGUUCAUCAGAGAACACACACAGGAGAGAAGCCCUACUCCUGCUCUGACUGCGGGGCGAGUUUUCGCAACUGGGCAACUUAAAAACACAUGAACGUAUACAUACAGGAGAGAAGCCUUAUUACUGCUCUGACUGUAGAAAAUGUUUUAAAACAUCAACUGGGCUAAAAGUUCAUCAAAGAACACACACAGGAGAGAAGCCUUACACCUGCUCUCACUGUGGUGUGAGUUUCUCUCGAUUGGGACACUUAAAAACACAUGAACGUAUACAUACAAGAGAGAAGCCUUAAACCAUGCUCUCUAUUGUGGGGCGAGUUUCUCUCGACUGGGCAACUUAAAAACCCAUACAAGUAUACACACAGGAGAGAAGCCUUAUUACUAGAGCUGUGGCAGCCAUGGCGUUGUGUCAGCCGGUGAUUGUCAUAUAAAUAAUUAUUUCUCAUGGUAAUUGACCGGUAAUUAACCUAAACAUGUUUAGCAUGUCUUGGCUUCCACACACAGCCUACAAGCCACUGAUGUGGACCUUUUGAAACAUCUACAUUGUAAAAAGUAUAAUAAAUCCAUGUAAUAUAGCCUACACCUUCACAAUAAAUCCAUUAUUUAUUUUAUACAGGUCUAAAAGAAACAUGAUAUAAAGAAAAUGUAGCCUAUUUCAGAAGAACAAAAUAGCAUAUUCUGAGUUGUCCUUACAGUACGUAAGGUCCUGAUCUGGCUUGGCCAUAUGGCUGUGGGCACCACUAGUUCAUUUAGCACACAAUUGAGCAUAGCUGAAAUAAGAAAAAAUAUUCCCCAAAGAAUUUCAGAGGAAGUGUGCACUAUUCUGUGUUAACAGGUCCUCCUAUAUGCUUGCUUUAGAUUUAUUUUUGCAACUUUAGUUGGGAUCUAAACAUAUGUUUAGAUUUUGAAUACAUUCUAAGGCUGCAUGGUGCAACUCUAAUGACGAUUUGAAAAAAAGUUGGAUGAAAGGCCUGCUUCUCUGCUCUGUUUCUUACGCAGGCUGCACACACUUCAUCAGUCUCUCAUUCACAGUUUGACAAACACUUGAUCAUAUUCUCAACCGUCAAGACUGUUCAUCAUUUAAUCUCGUCUUUACAUACAGCCUGUUAAUAUAUAUGUGUAGAAUUAUUUUUCAAUUAAAAAGUCAUCCGUAGCAUGUAGUCGAUUAGCGAAUGAAGGUUACGACGCGUUCAUAAGGUUAGAGGAAGCUAAAAGUUAAUUGAAAUAAAUUGACAAAAUUGUAUAGCCUAAUUAGCUUACUCCUGUCUAUGCAGAAAGAAAGACAAUCCUUCCAAAUAGGAUACUGAAGUAUGACUUGUCCUCAGAGGAUCUUCUUUAAAAUAUAAAUAAAUUGUAUAUAAAUUGCAUUGUAUUUAAAUUGCAUUGUCUACAGUCGGAAGGAAAGGCAGGAAA